CAGCAAGUACAAAAGCUGUGAGUCACCAGAUUACACUUGUUGCCACGGAGACACACAUCAUCCUAGUCUACUGGUCCCUUCAGGUCUGGGGCUGCUGUUUCCACUCCACCCAUGGAGGGAUCAGGUGAGGAGGGGUGAGCCCCUUGCUGUGCUCAACCCUCUGGGUCUGGGUCCUGCCAGGGAGUAGGGUGCUGCUUCCCGAUUCUCUGGGACCUGUUCUAACUGGUUCAAAACAAGGACAUCAAGCUGCAGCUGUCUGAGAACAUCUAUAGAGCAUCGGGAAGUGAAAAAGUGCAUUUUCUGUUUCCUGCUGUUGUGGAUUAUUGUCUUGUGGCUUUCACCAGAUGUUCACAGGGACAAGAAAAUUCCCCACCUGACGUGGAGGAGAAGCUGAUGAUGGAAGCAUGACAUUCAUUCAAGAGCGAGGAAGAACGUGGUCUUUUUCCCCUCCCCACUUUUUCUUUGAUUGUAAACUGUAGCCCACUAAGUUCUUGGGGUGUAGUACCCUCUCACCCUCCUGCUUGUAAGCCUCAAAAUCAUCCUAUUCUAAUAAAUCAUUUCUUGUCUAUCUCUUUGCCUCUCGUUGAAUUCUUUCUGAGCUG
rnacentral:lncRNA from 1 species